UGUUAAUUAUAUGUUUGUGGAGGCCACGACGGGUUGAGCUUGGGCCAUCGUCAACGUCACGCCGCGGUGCCGUUCGAGCCUACGUUUGUCGUCGUAGCAUCGCGAGGAGGCCGGGCGAGGGUGUGUUACCAUCGUCCUCGACGUCGCACAGAUACUAGGAUCGCUGUCGAUAUUUCCAGCGUCGACUGUCGGCGUUUUGGCUCAUACUCGGCGUAGGAGCAUCGGAUUUGGAUGGGAUUUGGUUCGUUGGAUUCAGGACUUCGAGAGGAAUCCACGAAACCCUUAUUUGCUAGAUUUGGUAAAGACCCGUGGAGCGUGUUGUUGCUGGUUCGGGGAGCUGCGCCGAGCUUGACAGGGACUCCGGUGACCUUCUUCACCGUCGGGGAUUUGUGAUUAAGGUGGGUUUUCAUCGGAUUACUCCUAAGUACAUGAGUAAAUAUAUAGUCGGCAUGUAUACUUGUUGUUUGAUCUAUAAUGUGAUUAGAUUAAAUUCAUUUAUUAGCCGUGACUGUACUCUGAAUUUAAGCAUACUAAAUAAGUGUUAAUUAUAUAUGUUGGACUUGAGA